rfam:Vibrio sp. J237 Contig_7, whole genome shotgun sequence.
UUACGUGUAGGGUGGAGAUGUACAACUGCAGGUCUGCGUAGCAAUUAGCUUUACCAAGACGCCUUAUCUCGUCCGCUACCUGCAAUUGAUUCCUCCUCCUUUAACAAAUGCUUGUUGUUGAUUCAGCGAGCAGGAGAUGUCCGUCGCGACCCAGCCCUAUUUGGCUGACUGUCGCUUGACAAUGCAGCGGCUUAUGACCGCUGCUGACGCGCCUGACACCGACCCUGAGAGUCGUGUGUGCCGAACGCCGUUUCCGAGAGCACCGGAAACCGA